UACGGAGGGUGCAAGCGUUAUCCGGAUUCACUGGGUUUAAAGGGUGCGUAGGUGGGUCUGUAAGUCCGUGGUGAAAACUCGAGGCUCAACCUCGAGACGCCGAUGGAAACCAUCUGACUAGAGUCCGGAAGAGGAGAGUGGAAUUCCUGGUGUAGCGGUGAAAUGCGCAGAUAUCAGGAAGAACACCCGUGGCUAAGGCGGCUCUCUAGUACGUGACUGACGCUGAGACGCGAAAGCGUGGGGAGCGAACAGG
rnacentral:rRNA from 1 species